rnacentral:ncRNA from 1 species
AAUGGCAAUUACAAUGGGAAGCAAGACUAUAAGACGGAGUAAAUCAGAAAAGAUUGCCUCAGUUUGGAUUGUUCUCUGCAACUCGAGAACAUGAAG